GGGGUGGGGGUGAGAAUCCUUCACAAGUCUUAAAUGGAAUUAAACCUGCGUGCUUACAUUAACAAGGUAACAAGAAAAAAACCGGUCUAAACAGAAAACGGCCGGAAACCCAAUGAGGUCCUAAAUAUAGUAAGUAGGCAAUAAAGGAUAAAUGUUUCUAGCAAGUAAAAGCCAAGAAGUAAAUACCAGGUAGGCUGCACCUGCCUUCCUUAUCUAACCUUUUAAGAAUGCUAUCGCUGGUUCCUGUUUGUCCACACCUCCAGCUGAGGGGGGAGGUGUUCCUGGGGGCAGAUUGUGUUUGCAGUCGCAUCUCUCCACGUCGGCUGCCUUCGCUGGCUCCGGCCUGGGCCUGGAUGUCUUAUCUUACUUUAUGGGUUCACCCACUGUGGGGAGGAAGGCUAGCAAACGCGGGCUCAGGAUGCGCCCUGGCGCUUCUUUAUUUAUUUAAUCAAUUUCAGCACGUAAAGGAGAACUUACUUAUUUCUCAACACUUCUUUCUGUUUCCUGAAAGGCUGAAAAAAGAGUCCUUAAUUCCCCUCAGCACUGUUUGAGGUGAGCAACUACAACUACACAAGACAAAGACGAAAGACUUUUUCAAGCUCAAAAAUCCUGUGAUUCUUUGAUUCUAAGAAGAGAUUUUCUGACAAGGAGUUUGCCUAAGGUAAGAGAAUCCUGACUGCCCAGGAUAUUACAGUCACUAGGUGGUUUCCUGGGCAGGCCGGGCCCCCGCUGGGACCCCACACAUUAGCUCUUUUUGGGAGGGAGGCCAGUUCUUAAACUUCCUCAACACCUUCCUUCCCGCAGUGUCCACAAGGCUUGUGUCUCCUCCCAGUUGCCGGCCUGCCGGCAUGUGGGCUGCCUGUGGAGAGGGGCCGUAGGCCUGUGUUGUGAAUGACGUCUGCAGGGCAUGGGGUUGACUUUGAAGAAGGUGUGAUCCUAAGUUGUGUUUGACCUGAGCUCCUGUCACCCCUGAAGGCAGCAGAGGAUGUCCUGUCGGUGACCCAGGAGGACGG
rnacentral:lncRNA from 1 species